GUUUGCACUUGUCGGGGAAGGGUGAGAACCUUCGAUUAAGGUUCGACUUGAGCGAAAGCGAGAGAACGUUGCCAACGGCAAC
rnacentral:sRNA from 2 species